AACCAAGAAACAAUGAUGUCCAAGUUCAAGCACAUAUCUGAACAUCCUGAUGUGAAUCACUUUUCUGAGUUUCUUGGUU